rnacentral:lncRNA from 1 species
GUAAGUUCAGAGGUGAAUUGUUAGUUAAUGACUGAGCAGGGUUGGGAGCAGGGAGCUGAGAACUAGAAACAAACAGAGGCUAAAAGUUUGAAUGAGAUAUGUGCGAGUUUCUCUGGGAGGCAGGGUGCAAGGACAGAGGAAGGAUUGUCAAGAAGGAAAGGAAAAGCACCCACAGUGAAACCUGAAAGAGGCCCAAAACAAAACUCCCCUGAUUUCCUCAUUGCCUCAGGGCUGGGCCCCAGGUACAUUUAUUUCUUUUCUAAUUACCUACACCUGAGUGAACAUAGACAGGUAUUUAUAUCUCAGUGAGCUGUUUAGGUGUGUUUAUUUAGGUUUUAUUUAUAAUCCCAGAUUAGGUAAUUUCCUUUUAAAAAUUAUAGGUGGACUGUGAUGAGAAAGAGCUUUUAUCUGAUUGUUAGUAAGAUCAUAGGCGUAAAGAGAAUUUUGCUUUUGAAAACUUACAAGGGCUAUUGAGUUUUUCAAUUAAACAAUGUGGCCCUUCUAAGGUUACUAAAGAGAAACCCACAUAUUCACAAUCAACCUCUAAGGCUGUUGAGGUUUCUCAGUUCUUUGAACCUCGAACACUCUGUGUUCCUAAGCCACUAGAGGUGGAAACAAAAUAGAGCCGCUUAUCACAUUUCUUCUAUUCCACACCUCAGUAUUGUCAUCGUCUCCACUUGCCCUUCAGCGGAGGAGAUUAAUAGAUUUCAACAGGACCUUUUGUGGGCUCAGAGGAGCUGGCUCUGCACUUAUUUGCCCUCUUUGUGUGGUUGUAAAGUGUUCUGACCAGAUGACUCGGCAUUGCCAGUAAGAACCCAGCCCCAUGCCACAGGGACUCUAUGGCCAGAAGCACUGCUUCCUCUGCCUUGUUUCUUGAGAUCAGUGAAACAGGAAUAUUUUCUUGCGAAACCCUGAUUCAAUAACUGGUGGCUCAGAGCCCACAAUAAAAUCAUGGUAACAGUCUAUAAACAUCAAAACAUUAAUCCUUUCCAAGUAGGAGCUGACGAGAAUAAGCCUAAUUGCAGUAAUGACCUGAAGUAUAGAUGCUGCUCUGCAUAAACUCUCACUCCCUGGUGGGAAUGUUCCCAUGGAACUCUGGGACUGUGCCAUGCACACACCUAACUCUAAUAAUACUAAAUCUAAACAUGGGCAUUCCUGCUGGAUGAGCGGACUGAUAGUCAUUAAAGGCCUAAAAGUGCAGCCCCACCCUCUGCACCUCUGUACCUGUGCAGCAGCUUCCUCUGGCCAGCAUGGUGUCCACAGCCCAGAACCUGGCACUAGGAGAUUCCUGGAGAAAGUGAGCCUUCUUGUCUGACUGUCCAGAGAGUGAGAGAAAGUGUGAUGGGUACCAAGUCCACAGGAAGAAGUAAGUUCUUGGAUAGAUCCAGUGCAAGGUCAGUUUGCCUUAGCAGAGCACCAGAGUUCAGCAAAAGAAUGAACAUGUUCUAAUGUCAAGAUCACUCACUUUGGGAGAAGCCAACCACCAUGCCAGUAGAUACUCGAGAUGCCCAACAAAAGUGACCACAUGGUGAGAAACUAAGGCCCCUUACCCAUAACCAGCACUAAUUCGCCAUGUAAGUCACCUUGGAAUUGGAUCCUCCAGCCUUGGUCUAGUCCUCAGAUGACUGCAACCACACACAGCUACCACGUUGACUGCAAUCUCAAAAAAAGACCCUGAGCCAGAAUCACCAUCUAAGCCCCUCCCAUAUUCCAGCCCCACAGAGUUAUGUGAGAUAAUAAAUGUUUAUUAUUUUGAACCACUAAGAU